CUGAGAGUCACCUUCAGACGCACCUGACGGCUCCAUUAACAUUCAGAACACUCCCAAAAUCACCUUCUUCCUCAGGAUUUCUCUCUUGAUAUCUAAACGUUCUUAGAUCAAGAGAAGCAAAACAACUGAAGAUAUUGUCUGAACAGUGACUGAAGUCUUGUUUUAGGAAAAAUCUUUAAGCUUAAAACAAGAAAAAGCAAAAAAUAUAUAUAUAUUUUUACUGUAGGGGUGUGAUUGACCUCUCCUCUAUGCAGGUCAGUCAGAGGUCAGUCCGAGGUCAGUGUGCAAUCAGUCUGAGGUCAGAGGUCAGUGUGAGGUCAGUCCGAGGUCAGUGUGCGAUCAGUCUGAGGUCAGAGGUCAGUGUGAGGUCAGUCAGAGGUCAGUGUGAGGUCAGUCCGAGUUCAGUGUGCAAUCAGUCUGAGGUCAGAGGUCAGUGUGAGGUCAGUCUGAGGUCAGUGUGCGAUCAGUCUGAGGUCAGAUGUCAGUGUGAGGUCAGUCAGAGGUCAGUCAGAGGUCAGUGUGCAAUUAGUCUGAGGUCAGAGGUCAGUGUGAGGUCAGUCCGAGGUCAGCGUGCGAUCAGUCUGAGGUCAGAGGUCAGUGUGAGGUCACAUGGCGUGUGUCUGAUCAUCAUGUUUGUGGAUAAAGCUGAAUGUAUUGACUGUGUGUUUCACUGAAUUCGCUGAACUGACCGGCAGCUUGACUUUUAAAGUCGUGUCUGGUUUGCGUUUCUCUUACUUUCACUGAGAUGUUUGGGGGAUUGUUUUACUCUCUCAGUAGUUUAUUCCUGAAAGAAAGAAGGGCAUGAAGACGCUGAGCGCAGAAGUGAAGGAUGAGAGUCAUGUCCUGAAAUCUGACAAAUCUAAAAUCAAGCACGUUUCACCACAUGAGUGUACAAAAUAUAUCAGUGUCAUGAAU
ensembl:lncRNA